rnacentral:lncRNA from 1 species
AAAAUGUUGUAUUUUUCUACAACAUGUUGUAGAAAAAUAUAAAUAAUGUUUAGGAAACUUGUAUUACAUCAACGGAUUUCAUUUAAAUACAGGAUUCUAUGAUUUGAACAAGCUGGCAGGUUCGAUAUUCCAUUGCUUCUCAAAACUCAGAACUUCAGCAACACCUUGAGCACUAAAUUCAGCAGUAGUAGGCAUAGAAAUUUUCAUCUCAAAAUGACGCCCUUAACAGUAGAAUCAAAGCAUUGGAAUCACAGCAAUAUUGAGUUAGAAUAACCACAACGCAUAGCUGAAUAGUGCAGGAUCUGCUUUAACAAAAAUAGCUCAAAACUUGCAAUUCAGUAGUGUAUUGUUGGCAUAUAAACUGAAGAAAAGCAGUUGAGCUAAUCGAAGCUAAAACUUUUGCAAAAUUCCCUCAACUAUUAAGAAAAACAAUAGUAACAACAAUCAAUUAAAGAAAUGUGAAAAUCUUCAUUGUUGAGCGAAAAAUGAACAACGUAGGGCUGUGAACAGCAAGUAUGAAAUCCUUUACAGCAACAUAAUACAAGCAGCAAAUUUUUUUCCAGGAAACCUGCAACUUAACCAACUAGACAAUAGUUUAUGUAACAAAAGCACUUAAUUCAACCAGAAGAACAUUUUAGAAGUAAAAACUAGAUUUCAAGCUAUCACAGCUAAACUCGAGCACAGUCUCAACGAACACAAUUUCGGCAGAUUAAGCUUACCGUAUGCUCAACCAAAUCACAAUGCAAACUGCUCAAUCUCUAGUUCAACUGAAUCCCCUCUAUUAAACUGAAUGACAACAACAACUAUUAGAAACCAAUGGUAACAAGGUUCAAGUUAGGAGAAAUUCUGCUAUCAAUUUACUCCAGAAACUUUUCCAUAAACAGUGGAAAAUUUUUAACAAAUAAGCUUCAGAGGUUUGCAGUUAUUGCACAAAGAUAACCGUGUACAAUGCAUGAUUUUCUUUCAAACAUGGCCCCCACCAACGAUUCAUAGAAUGAAUUAAAAUCACAAAACAAUGCUCCAACAAAUUAAGACUGAUCUCAACAGAAAUUUCGUCAGCAUGAAAGAACUUUGACAAGAGAAUUCCAACUUGAACUCUAAGAAUUUCAAUAGUAGAGUCCAUUGACACAACACAAUUCACACAAUUUUCAAACAAACAACUUCUGAAUUUUAAAACUAACCUAUGUGGCUAAAAGUGGUUAGAAGUAUAAAAUUUGGCUAUGACCCUGCAAAGCCAAGAACCUAAGAUUUACUAAGAAGAUCAGACCAUAUGUGGGUUACCUAUGUAUUACGCCCCGAAAGAUGAGAAUCAGAUUUGCAUAGUUCAAGCAAAUUGGAUACAGGCAAGAAAUAAAAAAAAACUAAUUUUUAAAGAAAAUAUUUUCUUUUAUCUCUUUUUUUUUUUAAAAAUGUUGAAAUAUGUAAACUCUUUUGGAUUUUUUUUCUUUUUAUUCGAUUUUCAGGAAAUGAUGAAAAAUAGUAAAUAUAUUUUUUUGAAUUUUCACAUAUCUUUUGUCUCGUUUUGUGAUAAAAAUAUAACAAAAGCAUAACUAGACCCUACUUGCUUUAUUUUCACACUUCACCCUCUUUUCUUUUCAUUGUUUUUCUUUUUUUUUUCUCAUUUUUUCAUUUACCCUUAGUUUUUAUUGGUCCGCCAAAUAACCCUUUCAUCAUUUAAAAAAUGCAACAUGUGGCAUAUGAAAUGCAUCAUGAUGGUCUUUUAAAUUGGGUACACCUGUCCUAGACAGGCCCUGUCUUGUGUUGAGUCUCCUAAGUCAAAUACAUGAUGCAAAUAAGUGUUCCUACUAUGGAUUAGGCAUGAGGUCAAGUUAUUCUAAAUUCAAAAACCUGAGUAUGUGUUUUAGACAGUGUACCCGAGCGGACAACUCGAGUCGAGGAGGGGGCUACGUACCAAAAACCAAAAGGCCAUCCGGCUUAGUAAAUUGUCCGGCCUCUUUCAUAUUUCAUGGUAUGACACUAACAUAAUAGGGAGUCUCAACUAGUAAGUACACCUCGGCAAGGAAUUCUGUUAUGAACCUACGUGCAUUUUUGAAUCUUUUAACCACCUUUAUUAUUUUUCUUAAAGAGAAUUGCAACGUCGUUAAAACAUAUAUCGAACCACGUCACAUAUAUGCACCCGUGGUUUUUGACACAUUUCAGCUUCGCUGAAAUUUGGAUUUGGGUCACAUAAAUGUGCACCAAAAUUUAUAAAAAUUAAUAUAAAGUACGCAUCUAAUGCAAUUACGUGUUUAUUUAUUUUCCUAAUCUUUAAUGAAUUGGAUUUGGGUCACAUAAAUGUGCACCCGAAUUUAAAAAAAUUAAUUUAAAGUACGCGUCUGAAGCAAUUACGUCUUUAUUUAUUUUCCUAAUCUUUAAUAUUGUUGUAAAGAUUUAAGAGUUAUAAAAACUAUUGUAGACAGAAAUAUGAUUCGAUCCUUUGGGAAGUAUUCAUCACAAGAAUGGAGAAGAAUAUGUUGGACUCAUAGGUGUUACUAAUCCUGGCUCAGAUCUUUAUAAAUUCAAACUAACCUCACAUGCUAAACCAUUUUUCACUAUGCUCACGCCUAUUUUUAGACUCUAUCAGUAGAUACAAUUCCAGUUCUCCUCAACAAAAUUCAAAUUGCUUUAAUUUUAGACCCAACAGAUCGAUUCUCUACCUCAAAAUGAAAUGGCUAGUAUAUUUACCAGCCACAAAUCCAUUAACAGUGCAUUAGCUAUUUAACACAAUCCAAAAAUCAAGACUUUGAUUCUAGCUACACCCAAAACCUAUUGUUGUCCAAGUUCUAAAAGAAUUAAAUUCACAAUAAAGUAAUUAAAUUAUUCACAUUAAAGAUCCAAUAACAGACCCAAAUAAACACAUGGAAAAGGUCAGAUGGCAAACGAAAAUUUAAACAAGAGAACACUAAGGAAUUCAAAUAGCAAAGGUAAGAAUAAACCUUAAUAUUCAGUAAAUAAAAUUCUUCAGCAGAUGAAAACACGAAGCUUCCGACAUCAACAAAAUAUAUGAAUUCCAAAGAUUACAACUCCAAUAAAUAGCUCUUCAGUAGAUGAAAGCACGAAGCUUCCUACAUCAACAAAAUAUAUGAAUUCCAAAGAUUACAACUCCGAUAAAUAGCUCCAACAAGAUCUGCGACAUGAACACUCGAAAUACGACCUCGACUCUCUUUGUGGUGAUUUAAGAUCUGAUUGGAGUUGGAUCUUGGACUGGUUUACAGCUGAGCUUGAGCUCUGUUUCGCCUGUUUCCAUGGAGUUUCAAGGCUAUUUUAUGGCUAAUUUUUCUGGGUUUUAGGUUGGAAAAUAGAGCUGGUUUUGAAUGAUUUUGGUCGAAUUAGAGGGUUGUUUUUGGUUGCGUUUUGGGGGUGUUCCAGGAAUGAUUUUUGAGUUGAUUUUGCAGUCGCUUCAAGCUAUAUCAUUGGGAGAAGACAAGGUGGUUUAUGGGGUUAAGUUUGGAGUGUUUAAUGCAGCUUUUUAUUUGUGUUUCAAUGAGCUCCCAUGGUGAAAACGGGAAGAAGAAAAACUGUCGAGAUGGUGAAGAAAACCAAUAGCUGCGUAGCUUUCUUCAAGCCUCCCUUUUCUGUGUAUAGGCGCGUGUUUAUCUCUUGUGUAUCUAUCCGUAUAUGUGUGUUAGGGUUUGUAGGUGAG